rnacentral:rRNA from 1 species
GAUGAACGCUGGCGGCGUGCCUAAUACAUGCAAGUCGAGCGAACGGACGAGAAGUUUGUUGGGUGCUCGUUUGGGGAGCCGGGGAGUAACACGCGUGGAAACCUCCCUUUACUUUUGGGUAAAUUCAGGGAACUCGGGCGAAAACCCGGGAGGAUCUUUUGAUCCAUGGUGUGGGUUGGAAAAUGUCGGCGUUGCGGUAUCUACUAGCGGCUUAUUAGCUACUUGGUAAGGUAGUGGCGUACCAGGGUUACGAUGGAUAGUCGACCUGAGAGGGUGACCGGCCACACUGGAACGGAUACACGGUCCAGACGCCUACGGGAGGCAGCAGUAGGGAAUCUUCCGCGAUGGGCGGAAGCCUGACGGAGCAACGGCGCGUGAGUGAUGAAGGUCUGCGGAUCGUAAAACUCUGUUAUUAGGGAAGAACAUAUGUGUAAGUAACUGUGCACAGCUUGACGGUACCUAAUCAGAAAGCCACGGCGAACUACGUG